AACGUAGGACGCGAGCGUUAUCCGGAGUUACUGGGCGUAAAGCGUGCGCAGGCGGUUUUGUAAGCCAGAUGUGAAAUCCCCGGGCUUAACCUGGGAACUGCAUCUGUGACUGCAUCGCUGGAGUGCGGCAGAGGGGGAUGGAAUUCCGCGUGUAGCAGUGAAAUGCGUAGAUAUGCGGAGGAACACCGAUGGCGAAGGCAAUCCCCUGGGCCUGCACUGACGCUCAUGCACGAAAGCGUGGGGAGCAAACAGG
rnacentral:rRNA from 1 species